UGGGGAAUUUUGCACAAUGGGCGCAAGCCUGAUGCAGCGACGCCGCGUGAGGGAUGACGGCUUUCGGGUUGUAAACCUCUUUUAUCCACCACGAAGGCCAGGUAUUCGCCUGGUUGACGGUAGUGGUUGAAUAAGCGCCGGCUAACUACGUGCCAGCAGCCGCGGUAAGACGUAGGGCGCGAGCGUUGUCCGGAUUUAUUGGGCGUAAAGGGCUCGUAGGCGGUUGAUUGCGUCCGCCGUGAAAGGCCUCGGCUUAACCGGGGUUUUGCGGUGGAUACGGGUCGACUUGAGGCAAUUAGGGGAGAUCGGAAUUCUACGUGUAGCGGUGAAAUGCGCAGAUAUGUGGAGGAACACCGGUGGCGAAGGCGGAUCUCUGGGAUUGUUCUGACGCUGAGGAGCGAAAGCGUGGGGAGCGAAC
rnacentral:rRNA from 1 species